rnacentral:rRNA from 1 species
CCUACGGGAGGCAGCAGUCGAGAAUCAUUCACAAUGGGGGAAACCCUGAUGGUGCGACGCCGCGUGGGGGAAUGAAGGUCUUCGGAUUGUAAACCCCUGUCAUGUGGGAGCAAAUUAAAAAGAUAGUACCACAAGAGGAAGAGACGGCUAACUCUGUGCCAGCAGCCGCGGUAAUCCAGAGGUCUCAAGCGUUGUUCGGAAUCACUGGGCGUAAAGCGUGCGUAGGCGGUUUCGUAAGUCGUGUGUGAAAGGCGCGGGCUCAACCCGCGGACGGCACAUGAUACUGCGAGACUAGAGUAAUGGAGGGGGAACAGGAAUUCUCGGUGUAGCAGUGAAAUGCGUAGAUAGCGAGAGGAACACUCGUGGCGAAGGCGGGUUCCUGGACAUUAACUGACGCUGAGGCACGAAGGCCAGGGGAGCGAAAGGGAUUAGAUACCCUAGUAGUC